UACGAAGGGGGCUAGCGUUGUUCGGAAUUACUGGGCGUAAAGGGCGCGUAGGCGGACGUUUAAGUCAGGGGUGAAAUGCCGAGGCUCAACCUCGGAACGGCCUUUGAUACUGGACGUCUUGGAGAUCGGGAGAGGUGAGUGGAAUUCCGAGUGUAGAGGUGAAAUUCGUAGAUAUUCGGAGGAACACCAGAAGCGAAGGCGGCUCACUGGCCCGAGACUGACGCUGAGGCGCGAAAGCGUGGGGAGCAAACAGG
rnacentral:rRNA from 1 species